UACGAAGGGGGCGAGCGUUGUUCGGAUUUACUGGGCGUAAAGGGCGCGUAGGCGGAUGGCACAGUCAGAUGUGAAAUUCCCGGGCUUAACCUGGGGGCUGCAUUUGAUACGUGUUGUCUUGAGUUCGGAAGAGGGUCGUGGAAUUCCCAGUGUAGAGGUGAAAUUCGUAGAUAUUGGGAAGAACACCGGUGGCGAAGGCGGCGACCUGGUCCGACACUGACGCUGAGGCGCGAAAGCGUGGGGAGCAAACAGG
rnacentral:rRNA from 1 species